UACCAGCAGGCUGUCAGUGGAAAAUUCACAAGCCAGUCAGCAAGACACAAAGACGACAUCGUAUAGUACAGGCAGUGAGUGAAAAUGAUUUCCAUCUACCUGAUCAUCAUAGCUCUGGCAACAACAGCUGUGGCAAAAGCUCCAGUGUCAAAGCCAGCUGUGUCUGAGAUGUGUUUGUCACCAGAACAAAUGAACAUCAGCUGCUCCUCUGGGACUGGCUGUGGGCUCUUGUCUGUAUCAGUGAAUAACCGUCUAAACUCAAAAUGAACUCUACUCAAUCUCUCUCAGACAAACCAGACAGCUGACUCACAAUCACUGACCGGGGAAGAAGCUGAAGAAGACAAAUCCAGUGACUCUAAUGUUAACAUCAGCUUAUAUGGUCAGCUGACUAGAAACUUGAUGUGUCAAGUUAGGAAUAAUGUCAGCAGAGAUAAAACAGUUCUCUAGCUGAUGAAGU